AAAAAAACUUAAUCAAUUACUCCAAAUAAAUUAAUACCCAACCACAAUUAAACAAAGAAACUCAUCCUACAAACCCAGACAUUCAUUCAGAAAGUAAGUGAAGUGAAAAGGAACAGAGAUUGUGGCUCAAAUCAUAUCAAAAGAGAAAAAAUUGAAAAUUCCCUAUUUUUCCUUUGACAUCAUCUAUGGUGUUUUGCUGCUAUUAUCCCACUACCAUUGAGAAGAAGGUUUUUCUUUUUUGGCUAUCCAUUUUCCAUAUUUUCUACAUUUUCGUUCACUCUUCCUUUUUACUUCCUCUUUGGGUUUUUUUGUUCCGCUGUACGUCUGUACCGUUAAAAAACACAACCAGAUCCAAUUUUUUGUUCUAGAUCUGAUUUCUUGUUAUAGCAUCUUCCAGAUCUGGUUUCUUGUUCAAGAUCUUAUUUUGUUUUUAAUAUAGAUCUUUGCAAUUUAUUGUUUUUUGUUCUUGCCGCUAGAUGCACAACGACGUCGACAACACUCGCUACACUACACCACCACUUCAAAAUUGAAUCUUUCUCUACUUCAAUACUUCAAAACAAUGUAAAAAACAACUCAAUACUCCCAUUUAGUUUACUGUGUAUAAAGAUUUUGCAUCACUGUCACAUGAAUGGGUCAAAAAUUAUCUGAAUUAGAAAUAGGGUGUUGCAAAAUCUAAUUCACUUUCACUCAGUNNNUAGAAAUGAACUCCUGCAACUCGGUGAAAGUGACAACUAUGGAAGAUGAUGAAACAUAAAACAAAAACUUCAUUUUUACUUCUCGUCUAUUCACUUCAAUUUAAUUUUGCAGAUUGAGAGAAAUGACAAUGUUUUGGAUUCUAUUUGAUUGUAGCGCUAGGUGAAUAUUUCAGUUUGUUUGUUUUUUAAAUUAUGAAUUUGGUGAUGAAUUCUAAAGUCCUUGGGUAUGAAUUUGGUUGGGUUUGAAUUUUGUAUGUUUUCUUAUAUUUUUGUUUUAAAAUUAAAAUUGGUUAAAAUAAAAGACAAAUAAAAAAUAAACAAAUUAUUAUAAUAUUAUAGUCAGCUUGCCACAUCAGCAGAAUUUUAAGACACAUCACCAAAGUUAACUGAUAUUUAACGUUUUGGACUAAAGUGACUAACGGAGUUAACAAUCAGGGACUUUUUUAUCAUUUUCAUUAAUUCAAGGACUUAUGUGACAGCGUCUGACACUUCCGGGGACCAAA
rnacentral:lncRNA from 1 species